GGAAAGCAGAGGAUCUGGACGUGGGGCUCUAUCUGCACCCACCUCACGCUUCCAAGUGGGUCAGAGGAGAUGUGAUGCCCUGUUCCUUGCAGGGAAGAAGAGGCUCCCAGAGACAGUCUGGAGGAUGUUGCUGCUGCUGGUGAUGGGUCUGGCUUGGUCCUUCCAUGGAGCCUCCUGCUUGCCACAUCCCAUCGGAUUCACGUGAGCAGAAGAGCAGGCGGAAGGGCAGUGCCAGUGUGUGCCACAGCUGUGCCCCCGAGCCACAGCCUGCCCAGCCGGCUUGGUGUGUGACCACUGCGGCGGCUGCCUGGAGUGUGGGAAUGCCGAGGGGCAGCCCUGCGACCUGGAUGGCAGUGACACCUUCUAUGGUCGGUGCGGGGAGAACCUGGAGUGCCAGCUGGACAUCCAGGGGCUAGGCUAUGGGGGGAUCCCCGAGCCACAAUGCGUGUGCAGGUCCCAGAGGGCCGUGUGUGGCUCCAAUCAUAUCACCUACCAGAACAUCUGCAAGUUCCAGGAGGCCGUGCAUGAGAGAGACGGGUGGAACCUCAGCAUCACAAGUGAUGGGCCCUGCCAAGCAGUUCCCCAGAUCAAGCACCAUCCCCAAGACCAGGUGAAUGUGUCGGGCCAUGAUGUGAUCUUCAUGGUUGAGGUCUUUGCCUACCCCAUGGCCCUCGUGGAACGGAGGAAGGAUGAAGAAUUCGCUCUACCUGGAGAUGAUCCUCACAUCUCCAUCCAAAAGCUGCUCCCCCUGCCCUAUUUAGCUCCCCAGUGAACCCAGGAGAAGAGGCUCCCACAGCCAGCAAGGAAGAGGAGGAUUACUAUGAAUAUUACUAACGUGGUGCCAUCCCUCCCCACGGCUGACCGACCCUGCUGCAGAAAUCAGAAUGGGCAACGACAGGAGAGGGGAAGCAGAUAAGCCUGAAGGGCAGGGCUUUUCCGGCUUCCUCUGGCUGGUGCUAAGAUGCCCUGGAUCCUGUGAUCCCAACAGCCAUGGGCCAGGUCUCUCAUGAAGGACAUUAGGAUAUGGGCAAGAAGCUUUGAAGCUGACUCUCCUGCCACUGGCUUGCCUGGGGAAUGCGUGAAUGGACUCUUGAGAGUUAGGAAGUGCCCCUACCUAGCAUGCUCUAACCCCAUACCCUUCAUUCAGGCAGUGGUGUUCCAAGGGGUCAAAGGGGCCGUUCUACUGAAGGAGCCAAAUGGACGUUGACUAGAUGGCCUCACUGCUACUGAACGCUGCAGUAACACAGCUGUCCUCUGGAGAGCUCUGGCUCGCUACUGCGCAAUGUGGUGCUCUCGCCGGAAGGGAGGAUCGGGCGUUCACACUCAUAACCCUUCCACAGAGGAGUGAAAUUCCACAUGUGUAAUGGGGCCAGCACAAAGCCUGGGCAUCACUUCAGUCCCACUUAGUCCCUGCUGUGCAAAAGGCCAGCACGAGGGCUAUGCUAAAGAGAAGCACAGGCUUUCUCUCAUCUUCAGUACCCAGGUAAAUGUCACUCAGGGCCUGCAUUUUAACGCUCCACAUUCCGCUGGGGAACAGGGGGGUGCUGCUGAGGUUACAGUUGUAAAGAUCCUACAGUGCUCCAGGGGUGGUAAGGGCUGAGUUGUAGGGGAAAGAAAAAUGAUGUGUGUGCAGUGCUGGGGAGCACAGUUGGCAUGAUUUCCCUCUAACCUAGCCAGGAGGAGAAGACUGGAGCUGGAUGCAUUUCGGGGGAACCUUAGGUAGGUGCACAGGUUCUCUGCAUCCCCCUGCAGUGCAUCAGAAGCAGGACUGUGCCCAAGCCUGUCCCAGCAGAUGCAGGAUCCCAAUGCAUACUGGGCGCUCCUCUUGCCAGAGGAUGCAGAGGGUGGAAGGGAUGGGGGUGGGAGCGAGGGAGAGUGGAGACUGGAGACUGGAGAGUGGAGCACCUAGUUGAAAGGAGGCUGUAUCUGGUUUGCAAGCACUCAAAGAAAGAAAAUGAUUAGCUGUGAAAGAUGCUUCCUAUGAGACCUGUAACAGUUUAUAUCCUAUCUGCAGCGAGGGUAUAAAUAACAGCCUGUUUCCGGGUAGAGAAGAGCCUGGGUCUCAUGUAUAUUUUAAAUGAUUCCAAAUAAUUUCAUUCCUAGUUAUGUCCAGCUGCUGGUGGAAUGUGAUCUCCUGUGGUUUCUUGCAACGAUAACACUUUGCCUUCCAUCUUUGCAAACAUCAGCUGAUUCAGCCUCACAGGAGCACAUCAUUAUCUUCAUUUUACAGAUGGGGAAACUGAGUUAUAGGGAGUGCAAAAAAGUGACUUGCCCAAGGUCAUGCAGUCAUGAGCAGAGAGGCAAUAGUCCCUCUCUGUGGGGCCAGGUUUCAUUGUCAGAGAAGCUUGCCCUUUAAUUAGAUGCUUAAGCAGGUGCUGAAGGUCUUCUGAAAACCUGGACCCAGCUGGGGAUGCUGAGACUUACUGAAAGUUCUGGCGUCUGAUGUCUCCAGGGUAAUCACAUCUGGAAUAUUGUGUUCAGUUCUGGGGACCACGUUCCCAGACGCACAUCAACAGACUGGAAGUAGUUCAGAGAAGAAUGACAAGGAUGAUCAAGGAGGUGAGGAAAGAUUAAAAGAGCUAAAUCCAUCUGGUUUAGCUAAGCAAUCACUGAAAGGGGACGUAGUAACAGCCUGACAAUAUUGGAAGGCUGUGAACUCCCAGAAAGGAGGAGGGUUAUUUACGGGGAUGCAGGGGAUUAACUAGGAGGAACGGGAUCACAGUUAUUAUUUGUAUUGCAGUAGCCUGAGAGCCCACAGCCCCUUUGUGCUAGGCGCUGUACAAAUAUAUAGCAAAGAGACAGCCCCUCCCACAAAGAGCUUGGAAUGCAAGUAAUGGUACUAGGAAAGGGAAUAUCAGGACAGCCUUCCUGAUGGUGAGAUCCGUCAGGUGGUCUGGGAGCUCCAUCACUUGGGACAUUGAGAACUAAACUCUAGAAAACAGGCAGUAGGGAAGAAUCCUGCGUAGGUCUCUUCUAUGAACCCAGGAGUCCUGGGUUCCAGUUCUCUGCUCUAACUGCGAGAGCAUGUGAAUGCUCACUUGCCAAAGGUCUUUGCAGUAAAUCCCCUGUAUAAUAUUAGGAUUAGCACAAGAUGCUCCCACACGGGUACUUCUUGGGCAAUCAUGGCCCCUUCCACAUUCUUGGGGAAGAGGGUGUGUUAGUGUGAGUUACAGCUUGGUACCCCCCGAAGAGCCCCAGAUCUGAAAUGUCCAUUGCAAAGACCCUUGCACUGGUCUGAACUCAUUGGAAUCUCUGGCUAACACUUCCCCAUCCCAGGUGCCAUCUCCUCUUUCCCCAGCCCUUCAUCCCGACUCAGGACCUCUCAGGCAGGACAGGAGCAGUUGUGUGUGACCCACAGUUGGGCUUAAAGGGACAGUGGUCUGGGAUGGCCACUUACUUUCCCCAUCCCACCCUUUUCCUCUCACCCAGUGGCUACUUCUGUUAUUCCAAACACCUGGAACAGAGUAACUGGCCUUUCACAUGACCUUCAAGUGCCAGUGCCCCAUUUCAGCAGGGAUUAUUAUUUUCUGUAGGUGUGAACAGC